rnacentral:ncRNA from 1 species
AUAAAGUUUUAUUCUAGCUUAUUUAAUUGAUUUAUGGAUUUCUUUAUAUGUAAAUUUUUGUGGUUAUUUAUAUUAAUUUUAAUAAUUAUUAUAUUUUUUAUAUUCGCAGUAAUAAGUAUUAAAGAUUAAUAAAAAUUAGAUUUAGAAAUUUAUAAGAGUAUUGACAAAAUUUGUGCCAGCAGUUGCGGUUAUACAUAUAAUACAAUUAAUUAUUUUUAGUUGAUAAUUAAUUUGUUUAGUUAAAAUAUAAAUUAAAAUUUAUUAAGUGAAAUUUUAUUUUUUAAAAAUUUUUAUUAUAUAUUAUGAAGUUAUUAAAUUUAUAAAGUAAACUAGGAUUAGAUACCCUAUUAUUAAAAAUGUAAAUUAUAAAACUUAAUUAGUAUUAGUUAUGUUCUUAAAAGUUAAAGAAUUUGGCGGUAUUUUAGUCUAUUUAGAGGAACCUGUCCUGUAAUCGAUAAUCCACGAUUUAUUAUACUUAUUUUAUUAGUUUGUAUAUCGUCGUUGUUAGAAUAUUUUAUAAGAAUUUAAAUAUUCAAGAUUUAAAAUAAUAAAGUAAAUCAGAUCAAGGUGCAGCUUAUAUUUAAGAAGAGAUGGGUUACAAUAAAUUUAUUUAUAUGGUAUAAAUAUUUGAAAAAUUUUAUUAAAGUGGAUUUAAAAGUAAUAAAAUUAAAUUUAAUUUUAUGAUUUUAGCUCUAGGAUAUGCACAUAUCGCCCGUCGCUCUCGUUUAAAAUGAGAUAAGUCGUAACAUAGUAGAUGUACUGGAAAGUGUAUCUAGUGAGAA